UGGCUUCGAUGUUUCACCGCGCAAUGCCGCUUCCUGGUGUAAACUCACCGUUAGUGUCACUUCUUAUUUAUCAUUCGUGGCUAAUCCCUUUUAAUCUCUGGAAACGCUUUCCUUGCUGGUCCAGUUUAAACACCAAGAUACGUCCUCAUAUAUCUCAGUGGCGCAGCCAAUGAGGAUCUUAAUAGAUACUAAAUACUCCCGGAAUUAAAGGUAUAAGGUUGUCUUUUUUCUCUGCAUUUAUCACUUUCAUUAUGUUAAACCUUCUCAAGGUCAAAAGAAGUCAUACUUUAUUUACAAGUUUAGUUAGGUUAACUCUAACCAUUUCAUCAUUCAGGUUCCUGCCUUGGAUGACCGCUUCCAGUGCCAAGAGUAGAGCAUUGCCAUUGCCAACUAUGGGCAGCUAUUGUGUGCCGGGCAUUUCAGACGCCCAGAAAGAAAAUCUGCAUGCUUUUUUCUUUGCUAGUUUGAUCAGUUACCUGAUUGGCCAUUCAGUAUUUAUUGAUUCAGAUACAUUUGAAUAUUAAACAUUAGUUUUAGUCUGAUUAGUAGAGUAUAUUGCCACAUUGUAGUAGCAGCGUUUGAGCACUGGUAGGCAGCAUUGAUGCAGUUUCCAUAGCUGUAGUGAGGUCAGAUGGCGAGCAGUACUGCUUCGCAUUCUCAUCAUUAGCUCUAAGAUAACAUUUUGACAAGACUUUUUCUAGCAUGUGUUAAUAACCACGUCAUGGCUGAAUAACAGCCAUUAUCAAUGCUUUGUGGAUUGUCAGGGAAGGCUCUCUGUAAAUCAGAGGCCUAUCAGUCAGAAUAAGGUAUGCACUGGACCAUGAUAAGGUGCAGUCUGCACUGGACUUCAUAGUGAACACGGAUGUGCGUCACUCUCUAUCACGAUCAGAUCUCAGAACAAUUUCUGUAAUGCCAUGUCGUCAGGUAGAGAAGUACGCAAAGCCCAGACCAGAGUUUAUUUUUGUUUCCCCGUGCCAGUGCCUUCACCCAGUGGGGAAGAGGAGGGAGGGUGGAGAGGUACGUGCCUACUGCCUACAGCCAUGGUGGUCGAUUGGCGGUGCAGUCCUCUAUCAGGACAGGAUGCCGCUCUCUGAAUGUCCUGUGUUUACAGUGGAGCCGCCGCUCCGAGCACCACCCUGGAACAGCCGCCCGCCAGCCCACCCUCCUCACCCCUAAUCACUCAGACUACCCCCUACUCACCUGCUCCCUGCCCCUUAGAGGGAGACAAGUCUGCACUCUCCAACUUUCCCAUUGAAUUUGAUAUUGAUUCUGUAGGGCUAACCAUUUGGUCUGGCUGAUGAACAUGUCAUAUGGCCUUUCCCACACAGAUGCUGGUGUUGCUGGACUCCUUAAUGGAAAAGAAAGACCACGAAGAUGACCUUACAUACCACCCUCUCCCUUUCCAGAUUCUUUAGGCUGGACCAGAUGCAGACGAGGGCCAUUCCUUUGCCAUGCUGGUGCUACAGGGGACUGUCUGUGAUGUCUCAAUCGGUGGUGUCUGGCUCCACCGUGGGAAGCAGAUGACUUUGAGCUGUAGGACCAGUGGCUGGAGGAUGUGCAAGCAAGUGAUGGCAGAUGGAAGGACCAUCAAAGCAAGGGAUUGAAAAGGCAUUGCGGAGGACCAGAGGAUCAAAGCCCUGGUCUAUUGACCAAUCCUUUCUAACACGAUGUCGAGUACAAAUCUAUUAUUGAGAUGAGUAGCUCAGCCAAUAAAAGUAAAAUCACUAUUAACAAUUCGUCCUGUUCAUAGCAGUGAAAAUGUUUACAUUAUUUGUUAUAAACAGAUUGUUUUUGAUUCAAUUCUGUCACAUACAGUAUUAGUCAUGUUUAUGGAAAUGCAAAAAGGUUAGUGCAAUCAGGACUAUGUGUGACCUGUGGAUUUGCUGCCAAGUUUAUACUACACUUAUGUGGGAAAUAAAGUACUGUUUUGAUCCUGAA